UGGGGAAUAUUGCACAAUGGGCGCAAGCCUGAUGCAGCCAUGCCGCGUGUAUGAAGAAGGCCUUCGGGUUGUAAAGUACUUUCAGUCGGGAGGAAGGUGGUAAGGUUAAUAACCUUAUCAAUUGACGUUACCGACAGAAGAAGCACCGGCUAACUCCGUGCCAGCAGCCGCGGUAAUACGGAGGGUGCAAGCGUUAAUCGGAAUUACUGGGCGUAAAGCGCACGCAGGCGGUUGAUUGAGUCAGAUGUGAAAUCCCCGGGCUUAACCCGGGAAUUGCAUCUGAUACUGGUCAGCUAGAGUCUUGUAGAGGGGGGUAGAAUUCCAGGUGUAGCGGUGAAAUGCGUAGAGAUCUGGAGGAAUACCGGUGGCGAAGGCGGCCCCCUGGACAAAGACUGACGCUCAGGUGCGAAAGCGUGGGAAGCAAACAGG
rnacentral:rRNA from 1 species